UAACAAGUUGUUAAGGGCAUACGGUGGAUGUCUAGGCAUCAGGAGCCGAUGAAGGACGUAGGAGGCUGCGAUAAGCCUCGGGGAGCUGUCAACCGAGCUGUGAUCCGAGGAUGUCCGAAUGGGGAAACCCGGCAUCAGUCAUGUGGUGUCACCUGCACCUGAAUAUAUAGGGUGUGUGGAGGGAACGCGGGGAAGUGAAACAUCUCAGUACCCGUAGGAAGAGAAAACAACCGUGAUUCCGUGAGUAGUGGCGAGCGAAAGCGGAUGAGGCUAAACCGGAUACGUGUGAUACCCGGCAGGGGUUGCGUGUUCGGGGUCGUGGGACCUUUCGGCCGGUUCUGCCGGACUGGCAAGGAGUGAGAAAACACUGUGGUUAGUGGAACACGUCUGGAAAGCGUGACCGUAGAGGGUGAGAGUCCCGUACGUGAAAACCCGGUGUCUCCUGGGAGUGUUCCCAAGUAGCAGCGUACUCGUGAAAUUCGCUGUGAAUCUGGCGGGACCACCCGCUAAGCCUAAAUACUUCCUGAUGACCGAUAGCGGACUAGUACCGUGAGGGAAAGAUGAAAAGUACCCCGGGAGGGGAGUGAAAGAGUACCUGAAACCGUGUGCCUACAAGCCGUCAGAGCCUUGCGGGGUGAUGGCGUGCCUUUUGAAGAAUGAGCCUGCGAGUUAGUGCUGCGUGGCGAGGUUAACCCGUGUGGGGUAGCCGUAGCGAAAGCGAGUCUGAAUAGGGCGCCCAUAGUCGCGUGGUCUAGACCCGAAGCGGAGUGAUCUACCCAUGGCCAGGGUGAAGCGACGGUAAGACGUCGUGGAGGCCCGAACCCACUUAGGUUGAAAACUGAGGGGAUGAGCUGUGGGUAGGGGUGAAAGGCCAAUCAAACUCCGUGAUAGCUGGUUCUCCCCGAAAUGCAUUUAGGUGCAGCGUCGCAUGUUUCUCACCGGGGGUAGAGCACUGGAUGGUCUAGGGGGCCCACAAGCUUACCGAAAUCAACCAAACUCCGAAUACCGGUGUGUGAGAGUGCGGCAGUGAGACUGCGGGCGAUAAGGUUCGUAGUCGAGAGGGAAACAGCCCAGAACACCAGCUAAGGCCCCCAAGUGUGCGCUAAGUGGGAAAGGAUGUGGGGUCGCCCAGACAACCAGGAGGUUGGCUUAGAAGCAGCCACCCUUGAAAGAGUGCGUAAUAGCUCACUGGUCAAGUGGUCCUGCGCCGACAAUGUAGCGGGGCUCAAGCGCACCGCCGAAGCUGUGUCACUCACACAAAACAUCCCCUUCCUCUUUCGGGGGGUUGGGCAGUGGUGUGGGUGGGUAGGGGAGCGUCGUGCAUCCAUCGAAGCGGCGGAGUGAUCCAGUCGUGGAGGGUGCGCGAGUGAGAAUGCAGGCAUGAGUAGCGAAAGACGAGUGAGAAACUCGUCCGCCGGAUGACCAAGGGUUCCUGGGCCAGGCUAAUCCGCCCAGGGUAAGUCGGGACCUAAGGCGAGGCCGACAGGCGUAGUCGAUGGACAACGGGUUGAUAUUCCCGUACCCGUGUGGACGCGUCCCUGGUGAGCCCGGUGA
rfam:Actinokineospora spheciospongiae strain EG49 contig1267_1, whole genome shotgun sequence.